rnacentral:tRNA from 1 species
GGAGGGUGUAGCUCAGUGGUAGAGUGCAUGCUUAGCAUGCAUGAGGUCCUGGGUUCAAUUCCUGGUACCUCCA